CCUACGGGAGGCAGCAGUGGGGGAUAUUGCACAAUGGGGGAAACCCUGAUGCAGCGACGCCGCGUGAGGGAAGAAGUAUUGCGGUAUGUAAAGCUCUAUCAGCAGGGAAGAAAAUGACAGUAGCUGAUCAAGAAGCCACGGCUAACUACGUCCCAGUAGCCGCGGUAAUACGUAGGGGGAAAGCGUUAUCCGGAUUUACUGGGGGGAAAGGGAGCGUAGACGGUUAUGUAAGUCUGGAGUGAAAGCCCGGGGCCCAACCCCGGGACUGCUUUGGAAACUGUGUGACUGGAGUACAGGAGGGGCAGGCGGAAUUCCUGGUGUAGCGGUGAAAUGCGUAGAUAUCAGGAGGAACACCGGCGGCGAAGGCGGCCUGCUGGACUGAAACUGACGUUGAGGCUCGAAAGCGUGGGGAGCAAACAGGAUUAGAUACCCUGGUAGUC
rnacentral:rRNA from 1 species